AGUGAACGCUGGCGGUAGGCCUAACACAUGCAAGUCGAACGGCAGCACAGUAAGAGCUUGCUCUUACGGGUGGCGAGUGGCGGACGGGUGAGGAAUACAUCGGAAUCUACUUUUUCGUGGGGGAUAACGUAGGGAAACUUACGCUAAUACCGCAUACGACCUACGGGUGAAAGCAGGGGAUCUUCGGACCUUGCGCGAUUGAAUGAGCCGAUGUCGGAUUAGCUAGUUGGCGGGGUAAAGGCCCACCAAGGCGACGAUCCGUAGCUGGUCUGAGAGGAUGAUCAGCCAAACUGGAACUGAGACACGGUCCAGACUCCUACGGGAGGCAGCAGUGGGGAAUAUUGGACAAUGGGCGCAAGCCUGAUCCAGCCAUACCGCGUGAGUGAAGAAGGCCUUCGGGUUGUAAAGCCCUUUUGUUGGGAAAGAAAAGCAGCAGGUUAAUACCCCGCUGUUCUGACGGUACCCAAAGAAUAAGCACCGGCUAACUUCGUG
rnacentral:rRNA from 1 species